rnacentral:rRNA from 1 species
CACCGUAGCUUGCUACCGGACCUAACGGCGGACGGAUGAGUAAUGCUUACAAUCUGCCUAUUAGUGGGGGACAACAUCUCAAAGGGGAUGCUAAUACCGCAUACGUCCUACCGGAGAAAGCAGGGGAUCUUCCGACCUUGCGCUAGUAGAUGAACCUAACUCGGAUUAACUAGUUGGUGGGGUAAAGGCCUACCCAGGCGACGAUCUGUACCGGGUCUGACAGGAUGAUCCACCACACUGGGACUGAGACACGGCCCAGACUCCUACGGGAGGCAGCAGUGGGGAAUAUUGGACGAUGGGGGGAACCCUGAUCCAUCCAUGCCGCGUGUGUGAAGAAGGCCUUAUGGUUGUAUAGCACUUUAAGCGAGGAGGAAGCUACUUUAGUUAAUACCUAGAGAUAGUGGACGUUACUCGCAGAAUAAGCACCGGCUAACUCUGUGCCAGCAGCCGCGGUAAUACAGAGGGUGCGAGCGUUAAUCGGAUUUACUGGGCGUAAAGCGUGCGUAGGCGGCUUAUUAAGUCGGAUGUGAAAUCCCCGAGCUUAACUUGGGAAUUGCAUUCGAUACUGGUGAGCUAGAGUAUGGGAGAGGAUGGUAGAAUUCCAGGUGUAGCGGUGAGAUGCGUAGAGAUCUGGAGGAAUACCGAU